AUUGAACGCUGGCGGCAGGCUUAACACAUGCAAGUCGAGCGGAGAUGAGGUGCUUGCACCUUAUCUUAGCGGCGGACGGGUGAGAAAUGCUUAGGAAUCUGCCUAUUAGUGGGGGACAACAUUCCGAAAGGAAUGCUAAUACCGCAUACGUCCUACGGGAGAAAGCAGGGGAUCUUCGGACCUUGCGCUAAUAGAUGAGCCUAAGUCGGAUUAGCUAGUUGGUGGGGUAAAGGCCUACCAAGGCGACGAUCUGUAGCGGGUCUGAGAGGAUGAUCCGCCACACUGGGACUGGGACACGGCCCAGACUCCUACGGGAGGCAGCAGUGGGGAAUAUUGGACAAUGGGGGGAACCCUGAUCCAGCCAUGCCGCGUGUGUGAAGAAGGCCUUAUGGUUGUAAAGCACUUUAAGCGAGGAGGAGGCUACUGAGACUAAUACUCUUGGAUAGUGGACGUUACUCGCAGAAUAAGCACCGGCUAACUCUGUGCCAGCAGCCGCCGUAAAAC
rnacentral:rRNA from 1 species